rnacentral:rRNA from 1 species
GUGCCAGCCGCCGCGGUAAAACGUAGGAGGCGAGCGUUAUCCGGAUUUACUGGGCGUAAAGCGCACGCAGGUGGUGACGUGAGUCGGACGUGAAAGCUCCCGGCUUAACUGGGCGAGGUCGUUCGAUACUGCGUCACUUGAGGUUGGGAGAGGGGUGCGGAAUUCCCGGUGUAGUGGUGGAAUGCGUAGAGAUCGGGAGGAACACCAGUGGCGAAGGCGGCACCCUGGCCCACACCUGACGCUGAGGUGCGAAAGCGUGGGUAGCAAACAGGAUUAGAAACCCGCGUAGUCC